GCUCAGCGACUGGGGUGAAGUCGUAACAAGGUAGCCGUAGGGGAACCUGCGGCUGGAUCACCUCCUUUCUAAGGA
rnacentral:rRNA from 1 species